rnacentral:lncRNA from 1 species
AUUUUAAAGAAAUUAUGUAAUAAAACACAAAGCAUUCCUAAAGAUUCUUUAAAUAAAUCAUAAAGAAAUAACAUAGAAAUCAAAAUAUACUAAAAUAAAAAUCUUAAUAAAAUAUUAAAAUAGAAAACUUAAUUAAAUCCAAAUUAAAAUCUAAUAAAAUUUUAGUCAAAUCUAAGUCAAAUCUUAAUCAAAUCCUAAAUAAAUCUUAGUCAAAUCCUAACCAAAUCCUAAAUAAAUCCUAAUCAAAUCCUAAUCAAAUCCUAACCAAAUCCUAACCAAAUCCUAAACAAAUCCUAAAAAAAUCUUAACCAUAUUCUAAAUAAAUUUUAAUUAAAUCCUAUUCAAAUCCUAAAUAAAUUAUAACCAAAUUCCAAACAAAUCCUAAAUAAAACCUAAAUAAAACCUAAAAAAACCUUAACCAAACCUUAAACAAAUCUUAAUCAAAUCUUAAAUGAAUCCUAGUCAAAUCCUAAUCAAAUCCUAAAUAAAUCUUAAUCAAAUCUUAAAUGAAUCUUAGUCAAAUCCUAAAUAAAACUUAACCCAAUCUUAAUCAAAUCCUAAAAAAAUCUUAAUCAAAUCCUAAAUAAACCUUAAUCGAAUCCUAAAUAAAUCCUUAC